rnacentral:ncRNA from 1 species
UGGAUUCUGGUAUCCGCAAGGAGAAAAGGGAAUCCGGUGUAAGUCCGGAGCGAACCCGUCACUGUAACAGGGAGCGGUGCGCACAGGCCAUUGGGGAAAGCCCGAGAAGGCGCGCAGCGUGAGGAACUGAAGUCAGGAGACCUGCCAGAAUCUA